rnacentral:sRNA from 1 species
GCCAGGUGUGGUGGCACACACUUGUAAUCCCAGUGGCUCAGGAGGCUGAGGCAGGAGGAUCAAGAGUUCAAAGCCAGCCUCAGCAAUGAUGAGGUGCUAAGCAACUCAGUGAGACCCUGUCUCUA